rnacentral:rRNA from 1 species
UACAGAGGUGGCAAGCGGUUGUUCGGAAUUACUGGGCGUAAAGGGCGCGUAGGCGGCCUACUAAGUCAGACGUGAAAUCCCCCGGCUUAACCUGGGAACUGCGUCGUCGAUACUGGAUGGCUUGAAUCCGGGAGAGGGAUGCAGAAUUCCAGGUGUAGCGGUGAAAUGCGUAGAGAUCGGGGAGGAACACCAGGUGGCGAAGGCGGCCAACUGGCAAUGGCAUUGACGCUGAGGUGCGAAAGCGCGGGGAGCAAACAGG